CAAUCAGGAAAAAAACAACGCAAAUUAGUGUGACUGUGUCAGAUGAAGAUGUUCCAGUUUGCUUUAAUUCUGACUAGUUACCCAGAAACUGUCUAUCCAGUUGUACGUGAAAACCUGGAGUAAGGGAUAUUGAGCCAAAUUUCAUCAUCUGCCAGGAAAGCUGCUCAGGCCAAGAGGCAGCAGGAAGCUGUUGACAAUGCAGAGAGGCCCCGAGACAGGCCAUAAUAGCACAAGCCAACUGCUGGGAAUUUAGUGCAACAUUCCACGGCUGAGAGAAGAUGACCAAUAAGACAAAAACGUUAUCCUGGCAAGGAAGUGCUCAAGGAUGUAAUUAACAAUGCCCACCAAGGACUAGCAGAUUGCUGAUCUAUACCAUGACACGUGAGGGGUUCUCCACCCUUGGGGGAUUCUCCCAGCAGACUAGAAGCUCAUCUGAAGACUGUUUUGCAGUACUGGAACAGUUUGAAGGAGCUGCCUCCCACCGGCAAGGGGAGCCUGUUGUGUCUAACAGAUAUUUGUACUUCUGUCUCAGAACUGCGUGAAUUCACAUCUGAGUCUUAUCCUAACCAAGCUAAGCAUGAAUUUCCAUCAUUUUUCAGUCCUGAGACAAGUCUUUACUCUUUGAAGAUGUCAUUAAAACCACCUCAAAGUCCCUCUGCCUCACACUGUUACUUUCAGGAAUUGCUUAAAGGGUGAAAUCCAUUAAAACUGGCAGAAAAGUUGGCUGCAUUUCCGUAGAGUCGAUGAAAUCAAAUAGAAAUAUGAAGCUGAGAAAAAGGAAGGAAUGUGUGCGGCUGUGUGAAGUAGAGUCGAGCUCAGCCAUUGGAAAGUGGAAUGAGGACCUUGCCUGCCUGUCAGAGAAGGUGCAAAAGAUGGUCCAGAAUGUUGAUUUCAUGCUACCUUUAAUGCUUAUUACUGAACUCCACUGCUGUGAAAUCAGGGUAGACUGAGGCUGCGCUUCUUAAGUCAGUGAAAGGAAAUCUGAAAAUCUGGAGAGAGGAUCUGAGAUAGAAUAUGGAAAGCAAUUGUCAUGGUUAAGAGAUGGUCUCCCCAUCUUCCCAAAACCCAUAUCUGUAGACCCACAAGGACAACAGUGAAGGAAGUCUUUCUGGAGUCUUGGCUGCUCUCAAGGAAGAUGGCUUUUAAGUUUGCAGAUGACACGAAACAACAAAUAGAGCUCUGGACAGCAACGAGUCUCUCACUCCAAGAAACAUCUGCUCAAUGGAGAAGGCAUGCAGUGAAAAGUGUGUCUCAUAUGUUCUGCUUAUAUCUGGUGGGCUUAGUUAAAAUAAGUAGCUAGUUUGGAAACAUAAAUGGAUUUGAGUGACACACAAGCCAAAUCUGACUCAGGACAUGUCGAUAUGGAUAGAAGUACAAGUGGCACGUUCCUUAAUGCUGUAUUUAUAUGAUGAGUGAAGUCAAGGGAACAGCAGAGAACAGCCGUGUCACUUAUGUAGAAGACUUGUCAAGAGAUUCUCCGCUGGCACUACUAGAAAUUCACACGACUUCAUUCUUAUCCCAU